CAACAACAAGAGGCUUAAAAACACGACGUAAUCAGCGCAGAGGAAGUGGCAGACGGGCACGUCGCCGACUGCUGUCAAGCCCCCGACAUACCGUCCCUCUGUGCUAUGAUCGGAAUUUCACGUCGGCGCCGACGGGAGGGGCGCUCGGCGGGCAUUCAGCCGAGAGGUCGUGGCGCGGAAGAGGGAGGAAGUGGCUUCUUCGUCGUUUCAAGCGCCGGCGCCAAAGCGACACGGGCGGCGAGAAAAACACACAACAUUUGUUUGUUCUCACACCGUGUCGGCAUCUGUGCGCGAGGAAGAGGAGGAGGAGGAGGAGGAGGAGAAAGAGCGACGACGGGAUGCGCUUCGGAGAGCGCAGGCGGCAUCCUUCCUCCUUGAAGUCAAGCAGGGUUCAGAUACUCGACUGACGCACCAGAUUCACCGAAGACUUGGACUGAACUGCGCGAUCGCAAGCACAGUAAACCACACGGGCUGAGGAAUCCAGUCAAUUGGAUCGCAUCCGACUACGUUCGGAAUCGCGGCGCAAACGUUGUUUGUUAUGUACCUUGUGUUCAAAGGUCACGCUUCAAGUGAACGGGGGAAAACACAACGGCGAAAAUGUUUGGCUUUUUCAGUAAGCGGGAACUUUACCACAUUAAGAAUUAAACAGAAAAUUGCUAACAAACUCCCCGAUAAGUGAAAAGGUUCCUGAAAAACAAACAAUGUGUCAAACAAUGACAAUGAGCGAAAUAUUUAAUGAUACGCGGCUGCGUAAACAUACUGUCGAAAACAUUUACAAUGUGAAAAGCCGAGAACUUCCUGUCCCUUAUCCACAAUAAUCUUGGAGUUCUUUGUUUCUCGUCCUUGGCCCGAACACAUCAAUAUUAAUAUCCUUUAUCAUAUCAGAAGCCCGGGAAUGCACCGGAAUGGUCACAUUCAGAAUAGAGCCUCCUUGUCUUCCAACACAAAACGCCGAAUAACCGUCAAGGUUUGAUGGUACGCAUAGUGAAAGCGUGCUUCUUCUUCUUCUUCUUGUUUUUUUUUUUUUUUUUUUUUUGGCCGCUAACACCUUUAGCUUCCUCGCCAAAGUCGAAGCCUCCGGCAGGAUCGUCUCGCCGGCUGAGCUCGGGCCGCGCAAAUCGCCGGCGCCCGUCGUCCGAGCGAUUUAGUUGUCGCGAAGGCUUCGACUUUGGCGAGGAAGCUAAAGGUGACGUCGGCGGCUUGAAAAAGAAAAAAAAAAAAUGGCAGAGGAAGAAAAGCGAGGACAAAUUUGCCUCUUUUGAUUCUGGAAUGCAUCACACACCGGGUCAAAAAUAUUCCAAUAAAAAGGAGACACUUUCUUUCAAAUUUCAUGCGUAUGGGCUCGUAUCACAAAGACUCGAAUUUGUGGUUUUGUUUAUGACAACUGAAUUAUACGAUUCUUAGUAUAGAAAGUAAUGAAAACACAUUUUAGAGUGACGUUUUUUUUUUAAAUUUGUUUGUAAUUUUGCAGGCUAUUUUUUUGGUACGUGGACGGGACAAACUGGCUCAUCGGGACUCGACAAUUGUAAAAUUCAUUUUCCAUUGCACCACAAAAGGAAAAGUGGAAAUCCAUUCCAGCAGGAUCAAAUCUGCGUACGGUGCAGCAAAUUAAAGGGAACUUGCUUGCCACCAAUAUGGGAAGCCACAUUUAAAUAUGAUCAAAAUAGAAACUAAGGCCAUACACUUUUUUUUUUUUUUUUUUUAUUCAGGUGGGCAAAUUAAACUACAAAUCGACUACGAGCAAAAAGAAAAUAUAAACUUCUCUUAAACGUGAAAAAUGAGUUUAGAGUGUGGUUUGUGCAUUUGUAAGCUAGCAGGCUACAUCCUGGUGUACAGAGAACGUUAAAAACUCAUUUUGGAGUUGACGCCAAAUGACUGAAAUGCUGAAAAGAGACGGAAAACAUCCCGUAACAACGGUGAAAAUAAAUGCAGACGAUAAAAUGAU